GGACUACCGGGGUAUCUAAUCCCGUUCGCUCCCCUGGCUUUCGUGUCUCAGCGUCAGCACACCCCCAGCGAGCUGUUUUCACCAUUGGCGUUCCAAAUGAUAUCUACGCAUUUCACCGCUCCACCAUUUGUUCCGCUCGCCCCUAGGUGGCUCAAGACGACCAGUAUACCAAGCAGUUCCACGGGUGAGCCGUGGGAUUUCACAAGGUACUUAGAAGUCCGCCUACACACGCUUUAAGCCCAGUGAUUCCGCCUAACGCUCGAGGCCUCUGUAUUACCGCGGCUGCUGGCAC
rnacentral:rRNA from 1 species